rfam:Gossypium raimondii Chr13_contig_1137, whole genome shotgun sequence.
UGAUAAAAAUUUAGUCUAUUUAUAUCGUUAUAUAUUAACAUGGUUGGUGAAAUAAUAAGACAAUGACACGUGGUGUGUUAUGUAUACCACAUACUAACGUAUAAAGAUAAGUUUUAACAGUAGAAAUGAAUGAAAUUUUUAAUA